ensembl:lncRNA
GGUUUAUAAAUGCUAAUCAUUAUAUGUAAUUAAAAACCACUUAGAAAUACAAGGGUGAAAGGAAACAACUGUGUGUGUAAAGUAAGAAGGAAGGUAAAAUGUGUCUGGAGGGUAAGGAAAGGUAUGGAAGGACUUUAUUAAAAAGUCUUUUUGUCAUUUACAGAGACUUAUUUACUGAUGCUUUCACAGAAGUCCCUCUUUGUCUUGAGAGAUUCAUGGAAAGAUCUAGAAUACAGGUUUCUGAUAAGUUUAAGAUCAUAAAAGUGAACUGGGUAAGAAUUUUCAAAGCUAAGGAAAAAGACAGGAUUCAAUAUCAAUAAGAAUUAAUAACAUGAUUAAAUGAACUGAUGAUAAUUUUUUAACAACUUUUUCUUUGAAAUACUGCUAAUUCAUUAAUGUUUUGUUUUCCAGAUUUAACAAAACCUUGUUCUGUCUUAAACUACUUAUGACUUCAGGCAAUUUGGUAAAGUGUACCUUGGUAAACAAAAGUGAAACAUUCACUUUUUUUCCCUACCUGAUCCCUCCAGAAUUUGGAAAUUUGUUACAUAUUCUUAUUUUCAUGGCAAUACUGUGAUUUACAUAAGCCCAAUAAGAAUAUGUCCUUAUAACAGGACACAGUUGAAAGCAUUGUAUAUUACCAAGGCUUUGAUUAGAAUGUCAUGUUUGAGAAUAUACAUAAAAUCAGAUAUGACCAGACAGUUUUAAGGAACUAAGGUUGAAUUUAUGGAUGCAAUAAAGCUCCUAAAGAAAAACUGACCUGGCAUCUUGUUUACAGGGUUCCUAGAAACUUUACCAGUUAAGUAAGAAUGGUCACUUCCUGGCAGGCCCAGGAACCUCAGGAUAUCUUGGGAACCUCAAGAAGAGAGGAUUUCACCCAAAUCUUCGCUCAGUUGUGCCGGACUCUUUGUGACCCCAUGGACUGCAGCACGCCAGGCUUCCCUGUCGAUCACCAUCUCCUGGAGUUUGCUCAAACUCAUGUCCAUUGUGUCGGUGAUGCCAUCCAACCAUCUCAUCCUCUGUUGUCCCCUUCUCCUCCUUCCUUCAACCUUUCACAGCAUCAGGAUCUUUUCCAAUGAGUCAGUUCUUCACAUCAGGUGGCCAAAGUAUUGGAGCUUCAGCUUCAGCAUCAGUCCUUCUAAUGAAUAUUCAGGGUUGAUUUCCUGUAAUUGACUGAUUUGAUCUUGCAGUCCAAGGGACUCUCAAGAGUAUGACCAUGCUUCCUGAGAAUUGUUAACGACAAGAAAAAUGCUCCUACUUAAGUGACAAAGCAAAACAAGAUAUAGCAAGCAUACAUUUGUUCCCAAGCAUGUAAGCUGUUGUUUUUUGAAAUACAAGUAAUACAGUAAAAUAAUAUAAACCAUCACUUGCUGGUGGGAUGAAUGACUACCUUUCUUGUAUGUUCGCAUUGUCUAAAGAAUACCUAAAAAAAUCCCUAAAGAAUGUCUAAAGAAAAUACUGCCUGUACAAAUAAUACAUUUAAACUUGGAAAUUAAGUCAACAUGGUAUUUUUGAAGAAAAUCAAGCAGAAGAAUGAACAAGGCCCAUGAAUUCUUUAAGAGAAACAGAUUUGGAAGACUGCCAGGAUGCAGGGAAUGAGAAAGAAGUCUAGGCUAAUUCCAAGGUCCCAAGCUGGGACAGAUACAAAACAAAGAAACAAGGGGAGAGUUGAGUUCUGUUUUGGACCUAAGGAGUUUGAGAAACCUGUAAAGUCCAGUAGAGGUGUAUGCUCAGUUGUGUCUGACUCUUGUGACACUAUCGACUGUAGCCCACUAGGUCCUCUGUCCAUGGAAUUUACCAGGCAAGAAUACUGGAGUGAGCUGACAUUUCCUUCUCCAGAGAGAUAUAAUUUCUGGGCUACAAAUGGCAACCUGCAACCUCUCUGUGUGUGCUUCUGUGAAAUGACUGAAGAUUCUGGUUAGUACUUUGAAGUUCGAAGCCCUGUUUUAAUUACUUUUCUAUACUUGAUUACCUUAACUCCAAACACCUCCUAUGAAAGGUAUAUACUUAUAAUUUUAAUGCAACUUGUUUUUUUCCCAUUGCAUUUU